AAGUGGUCAUGUUUAAUUUAGUGUAGUACGAUGUGUAAUGAUUUUACAUUGAUGAAAUUGUCUCGUUUUAUUUCUACGUUAUUGCGUCAGCAUUUUAGUGACACAUUGUGAUGUACAUUACGUCACUUGUGUACAUUUCAUCUCGUCGGGAGUGGGACGUAGCUCAGUGGUAUAGCGUACGCUCAAGGUGGGUCGCCAGAUGGAUCCUUCUUAGUGGACCCAUUAAGCUAGUUCUUUUUCCAGCCAGUGCUUCACAAUAACGUGGUAUGUACUACCCUGUAUAUGGGAUAGUGCAUAUAAAAUAUCCUUUGCUGCUAGUCAGAACGAGACGCCCAAGUGGCGGGAGCGGGUUUCCUCUAUUGAUUUUGAAUAAUGGCAACAAAUGAUUUCUCUAUGUAUAUGUAAAUCAGUUGCUACUGCUACUAUGGUUGUUUACGAAUUUACGUACUCUGUUUUUACAUAGGUGAUUUCUGGAAAGUAAAAUGGAGAACACUUUUUUUUUUCUUUUUCUUUUUGGUGUUGUUUUAAAGCAUAUUGAAUAUUGCAGUUCAUAUAAUUAUAACAUUAACUAUGUCUACAUCAUAUCUUCCUUGCCCUAGAUAUUACAUGCACAAUGAUUGGGUAGAAGUUAUACUGAUUAUUUUCAGCACUGACAGCAAUCUAUGUGCAGAUAGUCUUUCUCUGAACGAGAACGAUGAUCAUGAUGACCUAUCUGAAAACUCUGUGGAUGGUGAUGAAGAUCCAGACGAUGAGAUUGGGAUAAAAUAUACUGCUGAUCAACAAGCAUAAAGAGCCAGUCAACAUCAAACGUCAACAGAACAUCUGCUAGUGGUAGCAAACAAAUAAUAAGAUCAAAGCAAGCCAGGUAUAGAAAAACUAAAGAACCAGAUGGCUUUCAGAAGGCACUGAUUGAUCUCUGCACAAGUACUAAAAAGAGAAGGGAAAACAUUCCAGAAGCUAGAGAUGAAGAUGAGGCUUUCCUUGAGCCAUACAUUCUUCGUCUAAAGAAACUGCCAAACGAUGUUAAAGGAGUGGUGCAAUUUCAGAUUGCACAGUUGUUCUUCAAUGCAGAGAAUAGGUAUUUGCCACCCCAAACUAUUAUGCCUCUUCCUUCAAUGCAAGCUUGUGUGCAGCCUCAAACACAUUGCAUAAUAUCUCCCUCCAGCACACUUCAGCAGUGCGUUCCCUUAUAUCGGUGCUCACCACAAAGUAAUCACUAUGAAAACGAGCACUUCCCCAGUGUGGAGAGGGAAACAUCAGAUGUUCUUGGCAUGGCUAUGACCGAGUUAAACAACUGAGACAGGAAUUAAUAUGUUUCUUCAUUAUGGCAACCUUAAUGUAUAGAGCACUGUAACGUUUGCAUUCGGUAUUUUAGAUGCAAUAGGGCCAGGAUGGCAAAUGCUCACUAUUCAUGAUUUUCAGGAAACAGUUCAUACCACAGUCAUUGUAUAAUUUUGAUAUUUGUAUUACAUGUUUUUGCAAAUAAACAGAACUUAACAAAAUA